CCUACGGGUGGCUGCCGUGGGGAAUAUUGGACAAUGGGGGAAACCCUGAUCCAGCAAUGCCGCGUGUGUGAAGAAGGCCUGCGGGUUGUAAAGCACUUUCGGUUGGGAAGAAAAGUUUGGCGCCAAUACCGCCGAACCUUGACGUUACUGACAGAAGAAGCACCGGCUAACUCUGUGCCAGCAGCCGCGGUAAUACAGAGGGUGCAAGCGUUAAUCGGAGUGACUGUACGUAAAGAGUGCGUACGGGGGCGAAAUCCCCGGGCUUAACCUUGGAACUGCAUUCGAUACUACAUGGCUAGAGUAUGGUAGAGGGAAGUGGAAUUUCCGGUGUAGCGGUGAAAUGCGUAGAUAUCGGAAGGAACACCAAUGGCGAAGGCAGCUUCCUGGACUAAUACUGACACUGAGGCACGAAAGCGUGGGUAGCAAACAGGAUUAGAUACCCUAGUAGUC
rnacentral:rRNA from 1 species